rnacentral:rRNA from 1 species
AUACGUAGGGUGCAAGCGUUAAUCGGAAUUACUGGGCGUAAAGCGUGCGCAGGCGGUUUUGUAAGACAGUGGUGAAAUCCCCGGGCUCAACCUGGGAACUGCCAUUGUGACUGCAAGGCUGGAGUGAGGCAGAGGGGGAUGGAAUUCCGCGUGUAGCAGUGAAAUGCGUAGAUAUGGGGAGGAACACCGAUGGCGAAGGCAAUCCCCUGGGCCUGCACUGACGCUCAUGCACGAAAGCGUGGGGAGCAAACAGGAUUAGAUACCCUGGUAGUCCACGCCCUAAACGAUGUCAACUGGUUGUUGGGGAUUUAUUUUCUCAGUAACGAAGCUAACGCGUGAAGCUGACCGCCUGGGGAGUACGGCCGCAAGGUUAAAACUCAAAGGAAUUGACGGGG